UCCUCCUUAGCUCAGCUGGUUAGAGCAUCUGACUGUUAAUCAGAGGGUCCUUGGUUCGAGCCCAAGAGGAGGAG
rnacentral:tRNA from 15 species